UGCCGCGUGCAGGAAGACUGCCCUAUGGGUUGUAAACUGCUUUUAUAUAGGAAGAACUACAGAUACGUGUAUUUGUUUGACGGUACUAUACGAAUAAGGACCGGCUAACUCCGUGCCAGCAGCCGCGGUAAUACGGAGGGUCCAAGCGUUAUCCGGAUUUAUUGGGUUUAAAGGGUCCGUAGGCGGGUCAUUAAGUCAGUGGUGAAAUCCUACAGCUCAACUGUAGAACUGCCAUUGAAACUGAUGACCUUGAAUAUAAUUGAAGUGGGCGGAAUGUGUCAUGUAGCGGUGAAAUGCUUAGAUAUGACACAGAACACCGAUUGCGAAGGCAGCUCACUAAGUUAUUAUUGACGCUGAGGGACGAAAGCGUGGGUAGCGAACAGGAUUAGAUACCCUGGUAGUCCACGCCGUAAACGAUGUAUACUCGUUGCUAGCGAUACACAGUUAGUGACCAAGCGAAAGUAUUAAGUAUACCACCUGGGGAGUACGAUCGCAAGAUUGAAACUCAAAGGAAUUGACGGGGGCCCGCACAAGCGGUGGAGCAUGUGGUUUAAUUCGAUGAUACGCGAGGAACCUUACCUGGGCUUAAAUGCAGAACGACAGACUAUGAAAAUAGUUUUUCUUCGGACGUUUUGCAAGGUGCUGCAUGGUUGUCGUCAGCUCGUGCCGUGAGGUGUUGGGUUAAGUCCCGCAACGAGCGCAACCCCUAUUCUUAGUUGCCAGCGAGUAAUGUCGGGGACUCUAAGGAAACUGCCCGCGCAAGCGUGGAGGAAGGUGGGGACGACGUCAAAUCAUCACGGCCCUUACGUCCAGGGCCACACACGUGCUACAAUGGUAGGGACAGAGGGCAGCCACCUGGUGACAGGGAGCGAAUCCUAAAACCCUAUCUCAGUUCGGAUCGGAGUCUGCAACUCGACUCCGUGAAGCUG
rnacentral:rRNA from 1 species